rnacentral:rRNA from 1 species
UGAGGGAUAUUGCGCAAUGGGCGAAAGCCUGACGCAGCGACGCCGCGUGGGUGAUGAAGGGUUUCGGCUCGUAAAGCCCUUUUCUGCGUGACGAUAGUGACGGUAGCGCAGGAAUAAGUGUCGGCUAACUACGUGCCAGCAGCCGCGGUAAAACGUAGGACGCAAACGUUAUCCGGAAUUACUGGGCGUAAAGGGCGCGCAGGCGGAUCAGUAAGUGAGGCAUGAAAGCCCCAGGCUAAACCUGGGGAGG